UAACAUAUGCGGCUUGGCUCAACUUGUUGAGUGAGAUGGUAGAGAAAUACUACUUGGUUAAUCCGGGAGAACGGUCAAUAGAUUGCCGCCAUCUUCGUUCUCCCGGUUUGCUAGU
rnacentral:sRNA from 1 species